rnacentral:rRNA from 1 species
GACGGGAAUACUCUCGGGAAACUGAGGCUAAUCCCCGAUAACGCUUUGCUCCUGGAAGGGGCAAAGCCGGAAACGCUCCGGCGCCACAGGAUGCGGCUGCGGUCGAUUAGGUAGACGGUGGGGUAACGGCCCACCGUGCCCAUAAUCGGUACGGGUUGUGAGAGCAAGAGCCCGGAGACGGAAUCUGAGACAAGAUUCCGGGCCCUACGGGGCGCAGCAGGCGCGAAACCUUUACACUGUACGAAAGUGCGAUAAGGGGACUCCGAGUGUGAAGGCAUAGAGCCUUCACUUUUGUACACCGUAAGGUGGUGCACGAAUAAGGACUGGGCAAGACCGGUGCCAGCCGCCGCGGUAAUACCGGCAGUCCGAGUGAUGGCCGAUCUUAUUGGGCCUAAAGCGUCCGUAGCUGGCUGAACAAGUCCGUUGGGAAAUCUGUCCGCUUAACGGGCAGGCGUCCAGCGGAAACUGUUCAGCUUGGGACCGGAAGACCUGAGGGGUACGUCUGGGGUAGGAGUGAAAUCCUGUAAUCCUGGACGGACCGCCGGUGGCGAAAGCGCCUCAGGAGAACGGAUCCGACAGUGAGGGACGAAAGCUAGGGUCUCGAACCGGAUUAGAUACCCGGGUAGUCCUAGCUGUAAACGAUGUCCGCUAGGUGUGGCGCAGGCUACGAGCCUGCGCUGUGCCGUAGGGAAGCCGAGAA